CACCUACGGGAGGCUGCAGUGGGGAAUCUUGCGCAAUGGGCGAAAGCCUGACGCAGCCAUGCCGCGUGGAUGAUGAAGGUCUUAGGAUUGUAAAAUCCUUUCACCGGUGAAGAUAAUGACUGUAGCCGGAGAAGAAGCCCCGGCUAACUUCGUGCCAGCAGCCGCGGUAAUACGAAGGGGGCUAGCGUUGCUCGGAAUUACUGGGCGUAAAGGGAGCGUAGGCGGACAUUUAAGUCAGGGGUGAAAUCCCGAGGCUCAACCUCGGAACUGCCUUUGAUACUGGGUGUCUUGAGUGUGAGAGAGGUGAGUGGAACUCCGAGUGUAGAGGUGAAAUUCGUAGAUAUUCGGAAGAACACUAGUGGCGAAGGCGACUCACUGGCUCAUUACUGACGCUGAGGCUCGAAAGCGUGGGGAGCAAACAGGAUUAGAUACCCUGGUAGUCCACGCCGUAAACGAUGAUUGCUAGUUGUCGGGGAGCUUGCUCUUCGGUGACGCAGCUAACGCAUUAAGCA
rnacentral:rRNA from 1 species